rnacentral:lncRNA from 1 species
UAACGCCAGGUCUGUGGAUGGACCAAAGCAUCCCCACUAAGCUGCAUACUGGGAACUGAGACAAACCACAGGAAUUCAAAGCAGAGGGAAAAUGAUAAGCUGGCCUCUUCGUCCACACACCUAACACUCUCUAAAGCAGAGAAUUCAGUGGACCAGCAUAAGACCAAGAACCCCACCUCAGCAGGCAAGCGUUCAGCCUCACAGAGUCACACAUCUCCGUACAACCAUCAUUCUGAUACAGCAG